AGUAUUUUAUGUAAUAAAAUGAUAAACAAUUUUAAAACAAUGAAAAGUUAAACUUGCUCACCAUAUAAAUAAGCUCAUUGUCAUAAAUAGCUUUUGUUUCUGUAGACAUGGAGAUAAGAACAAAACACCUUUCUAAUUUCAGGGGGUUCAUUUUUCAGCUGAACCUGACCCAGAUUUCUUCAGCUGGAUUGGUACCCUUUAUUUUUAUGUUAGGUGCCCUGUGUAAGCUACAGGAAAGGACAUGGUAUAAUUUCUCAUCUACUCUUCUGAGCUGUUCAGCUCAAUUGGAGGUUGCCUGAGAGCAGGAGCCUCGAGUGCACUGUUCCUGCACUACCUCCCCCACCCCCACCCCACCCCCCUCCCUGAGCAUAUCACCACAAACCUGUUGUUAGAGUAAAAUGAUCAUCAGUGAGGACAGGAGUAGUGUUUGCACUAUUCCCAUCUUCUUAUUUUGCUCCAUGGCUGAUGAGAGCUCUUGAUUUUUAAAAAUUCCCUUCCAUUCUUCUGCCUUUCUUUUAGGUUUCCUUUUCUCAACCCCAUCUAAAGCAGAAAGAAAAAAUAAAGCCGAUUAAAUUUUACUGUUGGCGAAUAUUAAUAGCUGAUACGUGGCACUUGUACAGUGUAAUUAGUAUCACUAGUGAGUAAUUGAGUAAAUGUUGGAAUUAGGUGACAGUGGGAAAGGACCUGGGGGGAGGGAUGUGGAUGGGUAACAUUUUUGGUGUCCCUGAAGUCAUUAACUGUACAGAAGGCAAGCCUUAUAUGAGAAUAGGAUUUAGGUCACAAGGUCCUGUGCUAUCUUUAGACAGAUGUGAAAUGGUCUGUUCUCCCCACCCUUCUGCUCUCUUGUGCACACACGCACUCAUAGACGGAAGCUCUGGGAUCAUUGGAAUCUUCGAGUCUUGUCUAAAAAUAUGACUUUACCUUGGGCAAACUAAUCUCUGUGCCCAGGUGUCUCAUCUGUAAAAUUGGUACUUGUCUCGGAAGGGUAGUUGUGACAGUAGCUGUUUAAACUGCUGUGCCUGGCAUGUAGUAAAUGCUCAAUAAGUUUGAGUUACUGUCAUCACCAUCAUUAAUCAUAUUUUUGUUAUUAUUGUUUUGAUGUACUGUGGGAAGAGCCUCCCUAGCUGACAAUAUUCUUGGUUAAUAAGACUAUUAUUAUAAUUAUCUGUGUAUGACCACCCAUUAGCAAAAUUUUAUCAAGCUUAUUAUAAAUGUUUUUAAAUAGUAUAAAAACAUUUUUUGUUUCCUAUAUGUGCAUGUGUAUUUUUAAAUUUUUAUUGACUAUGCUUUUUAACCUGUUUUUCUUUUUUCUCAUUUGAGAAUGAGUGGUUUAAGAUUGUAGAUUUCAAAUAAUCAUAAAUUGUUUAUUCAUUAAUGAACACUAAAUUCAUCAUGUCUUUCCACUGUAUUUUGAGUACACUUCAAUUAAUACACUUUUCCCAUUUUUUUGUAAAACUAAGCUGUUCUUAGUUGGAAAGCUGUUUGGAGAGUCUUAGUUUUGUCUAAGUUACAUCGCUUUAGUUGCUAUAAAGCUAUUAAGUUUUCUUCGAUAAUGGUAGGGGUGAUUGUUAGGCUACUCCUCAGUCUACCACUUUAUUUCAUAUCAUGAUUUUGCUACAGUUUUAUGAGUCAGUUAGCUAGAAGGCUAUUCCAUAGUUAUUUAUAAUCAAGUACUUGAAAGUGUGAUACUUCAAAAAAACAUACAAACAAAACUCCAUUGAUUAUACUGAUGCUCCUCAACUUACCGAUGGGGCUAAGUCGGGAUAAAGUUGAAAAUGCAUUAACUACCCCAUAAACCCAUCGUAAGUCAGGGACUGUCUGUAUUUGUGGAAAUCAAUAGGCAUUAUUUUUUAAUUUAGUGCAAGAAAAUAAUCACAAGGCAUCUAAUCAUAAAAUAAAUUUGUUGGUGUUAAAGUGCAAUGUUUCAGUUUGGAACAUUGAUCCCAGAGGAUCAAUGUUUUUAGUGUUUUUGAGAAAGAAUUGUUGGGAUAUUAAGUUUUGAUGAUCAUUUAAUCUUCGAGUUAAUAAAAUCUGGACAAGUAUGAACAUGGAUAGAAGUCACACAUUUUUGGAAACUCUACUUUUUAGAAAAUCUUUCUUAUUUGUAUUCAUUUGAACUUACCAACUUUAGUCACUGAAUGUUAUCCCUAAAUGGAACUCAUAUUGUCGGUAACAUUUGUAUUUUCUCUGUGACUUAAAGAAGAAAUUCCUCGGGCCUCUAAUAUCUUAUAUAGUCAAGUAAAUAAUUUUUGGGGGUAUCUCAUGAAGUAUUAAUAAUUUUCUGUAAUCUAAAAUUAAUUAUUCAUAGCUUUUUGUUUAUGGCCAUUUGGUGCUCAUAUUUAAAAGCUGGUUUUCAAAAUGCAUUAAAGUCAGCACAGGUCAUAUAAGAAAAGCCAUCUCCUGCUCUUGUAUUUUAGAGGCUGUGACAACACUGAAAACAGUAUUGGAUCAGCAGCAGACCCCUUCUAGGUUAGCAGUGACCCGUGUCGUCCAGGCAUUGGCCAUGAAGGGUGAUGUUGAAAACAUAGAAGUAGUUCAGAAGAUGUUAAAUGGACUCGAAGACUCCAUUGGACUUUCAAAAAUGGUUUUCAUCAAUAACAUUGCUUUGGCACAAAUAAAGAACAAUAACAUAGAUGCCGCAAUAGAAAACAUUGAAAAUAUGCUUACUUCAGAGAAUAAAGUCAUUGAACCCCAAUACUUCGGCUUGGCAUACUUAUUCAGAAAAGUAAUAGAGGAGCAGUUGGAACCAGCAGUUGAAAAGAUAAGCAUCAUGGCAGAGAGAUUGGCCAAUCAGUUUGCAAUUUAUAAACCUGUCACUGAUUUUUUCCUUCAACUUGUGGAUGCAGGCAAGGUGGAUGAUGCCAGAGCUCUCCUACAGAGAUGUGGUGCAAUUGCUGAACAAACCCCGAUUUUGUUGUUGUUCCUCCUUAGGAAUUCUAGGAAACAAGGAAAGGCAUCAACUGUGAAAUCUGUGUUAGAAUUGAUUCCUGAAUUAAAUGAAAAGGAAGAAGCAUACAAUUCCCUCAUGAAAAGCUAUGUCUCAGAGAAAGAUGUCACAUCUGCUAAAGCACUGUAUGAACAUUUGACUGCAAAGAAUACAAAAUUAGAUGAUCUGUUUCUAAAGCGUUACGCAUCUUUGCUGAAGUAUGCUGGAGAGCCUGUCCCUUUCAUUGAACCCCCUGAAAGCUUUGAAUUUUAUGCACAGCAGCUAAGAAAAUUGAGGGAAAACUCUUCUUGAAAUAAGCAGGCGAUACUUUGUUUUGUAUAUAUUUGUGAUUCUGUGUCUACAUGUUAUUUUGAAGUAUAUCUGAGGGAAAAAUAAACGAAAAUUUUCUUUAUGUACUUUAUGUGUGAUGCAUGUUCAAAGUCUCAUUGACCAUAACUCUGUGCACUUGGUUAUUGGACAUUUUUGGAGUUUUUUUCUCUGGCAAAAAUCGAUAGUGUUUUCUUCAAUGCUGCUGCUGUGUGAAGCCAUACUUUUUCAGGAUUCUUCCCCUAAUUGGCUCUUUGGUUUCCCUGCUCUGUUUCAUUUAUUUCAUUAAAAUGUUAUUCCUUU
rnacentral:sRNA from 1 species